rnacentral:rRNA from 1 species
GCUCAGGAUGAACGCUAGCGGCAGGCCUAAUACAUGCAAGUCGAACGGGUGUAGCAAUACACUAGUGGCGCACGGGUGCGUAACGCGUAACCAACCUGCCCUUGACUGGGGGAUAGCCCGCCGAAAGGCGGAUUAAUACCGCAUAAACUAGCAGCCUGGCAUCAGGCAACUAGUAAAGAUUUAUUGGUCAAGGAUGGGGUUGCGUGACAUUAGCUAGUUGGCGGGGUAACGGCCCACCAAGGCGACGAUGUCUAGGGGACCUGAGAGGGUGAUCCCCCACACUGGCACUGAGAUACGGGCCAGACUCCUACGGGAGGCAGCAGUAGGGAAUAUUGGGCAAUGGGCGAGAGCCUGACCCAGCCAUGCCGCGUGCCGGAUGAAGGCCUUCUGGGUUGUAAACGGCUUUUCUCAGGGAAGAAAAAGGUGAUGCGUCACAAACUGACGGUACCUGAGGAAUAAGCACCGGCUAACUCCGUGCCAGCAGCCGCGGUAAUACGGAGGGUGCAAGCGUUGUCCGGAUUUAUUGGGUUUAAAGGGUGCGUAGGCGGCCCGUUAAGUCCGGGGUGAAAGCCCACAGCUCAACUGUGGAACUGCCCUGGAUACUGGCGGGCUUGAGUCCAGACGAGGUUGGCGGAAUGGAAGAUGUAGCGGUGAAAUGCAUAGAUAUCUUCCAGAACCCCGAUUGCGAAGGCAGCUGACUAGGCUGGUACUGACGCUGAGGCACGAAAGCGUGGGGAGCGAACAGGAUUAGAUACCCUGGUAGUCCACGCCGUAAACGAUGGAUACUCGCUGGUGGCGAUAGACAGUCACUGGCUUAGGGAAACCGGUAAGUAUCCCACCUGGGGAGUACGCUCGCAAGAG